rnacentral:sRNA from 1 species
UAAUGGGUUAUAUUAACAGAUGAGAGGCUGAUUACCUCUAAAAUUAAGUAAAAAUCACAUACUUGAAUUUAAUGUUUUUCCAAUUAAUUUUUUUUUUACAUAUGUGCUAAAACAUUCAUUUCACCCCAAAAAAAUUGCAUUCAUCACCAUUUAAAAAUCCACGAAUUCACCAUAUUAGGGAGUCUUCAUGUUUUAGUGUUUUGAUAAAAGCAAUAACAUGCUGUGUACAUAGAUGUUAGAUUAGUAGAAAAACUGAGAAAAAAAAUAUGAACAAACAUUCUGUAAAGGGUGAUGGUUUUUUGCUGCCUGUAAAUAUGAGAUAGCAAUUAUUUUAUGGCUUAACAAAUUCCUUAUUACCAAAAUUCAAAUUUUAAUCUGUAUGUAAGUGAAAUAACGUUAAAAUGUACAUGUAUCUUUUGUUAAGAUUGAUUGUUUUUUUAGAGCCUUUAUUUUUUAGCAAUUCAUAGAGAAAUGGUUUUUCAUGAUACAGUUUAUUGAUGUUUAACAUGAUUUUUUUUUUGUUUUACUCAUUAUGCUGUGAUGCAGUUAUGCAACAUGCAGUUUCCUGGUCUUUUGUCAAUAUUUUUUGGAUGCAUGAAGAUUAUCUUUUUCUUUUGACUGUGGGUUACGAUGGAAAAGAUUGGUACUUCAUUUGUAACAAAUGACAAUAUAAGGAACACAUCUGGAAUCUUGCAAUAAAAGUCAUUUGUUACUGAU